rnacentral:lncRNA from 1 species
GCUGGCAUGCUCUGCCUGAUCGCCAUCCUGCUGUAUGUCCUCGUCCAGUACCUCGUGAACCCCGGGGUGCUCCGCACGGACCCCAGGUAUGAAGCAGCGCCAGGACCCUGACCAGGAGGACCUGGGCCAGAGAAGCCCCUCGGGGUGCAGGACAAGACUGCCAGUCUCAGCCCCAGGCAUGGCUGCACCCGCACUGCACACAGCCCGGGUGGCGAGACAGGGAGGACUUGCCUGCCCUUGUUCCAGAACAUUCCGGAGCCAACACGGUGUGACAUUUUUUUCAAGGAUGAGCUUUGCCAGCUCCACGUGGAAGUCCCUAAAGCUCCUCCUUCCACUUCGAAGCGUGACUGAUGCCUCCAG